rnacentral:rRNA from 1 species
UUCUAAUAGUUUAUUUAUUAUUAGUAUUACCUGCUCAAUGAAUUUUAAAUAGCCGCAGAAUAUUUACUGUGCUAAGGUAGCAUAAUCAUUAGCCUUUUAAUUGAAGGCUUGUAUGAAAGGUAUAACAAUUUAAUUUCUUUUUUAUUUAACACCUUUCUAAAUUUUAUUAAAUAUUAAAAUAUAUUUAUAAAAAUAUAAGACGACAAGACCCUAUUGAACUUUACUGAAGUUUAGCUGGGGCAGCUAAUUAAUCAAAAUUUUAAUAACAUAUUAUAAUAUAAAUAGACCCAAUACUAUUGAAUAUUUGAAUUAAGUUACCAUAGGGAUAACAGCGUAAUUCAUUUUUAAAGUUCAUAUUAAAAAAAAAGAUUGCGACCUCGAUGUUGAAUAUUGUUUCAAUUGUAUGCAACAGUAUAAAUUUGUAGGUCUGUUCGACCUUUAAAACAAUACA